rnacentral:rRNA from 1 species
CAAGCCCUUAUGGCCCUUAUGAGCUGGGCUACACACGUGCUACAAUGAUUAAAUACAAAAAGUUAUACAAUAAAGUAAUUUGGAGUAAAUCUUUAAAAUUUGUCGUUUGUUCGGAUUAUAGACUGCAAUUCGUCUAUAUGAAGCUGGAAUCACAAGUAAUCGUAAAUCAGCACGUUACGGUGAAAUUGUACCUAGAUCUUGCACACACCGCCCGUCACAUGCUGGAAUU